ACGAUGUGAACUAGAUGUUGGUGGGGGAACCCAUCAGUAUCGAAGCUAACGCGAUAAGUUCACCGCCUGGGAAGUACAACCGCAAGGUUGAAACUCAAAGGAAUUGACGGGGGCCCGCACAAGCGGUGGAGCAUGUGGUUUAAUUCGAUGCAACGCGAAGAACCUUACCUACCCUUGACAUCCUGCGAAUCCCGAAGAGAUUUGGGAGUGCCGCAAGGAACGCAGAGACAGGUGCUGCAUGGCUGUCGUCAGCUCGUGUUGUGAGAUGUUGGGUUAAGUCCCGUAACGAGCGCAAUCCUUGUCCUUAGUUACCAGCAAGUAAAGUUGGGGACUCUAAGGAGACCGCCGGUGAUGAACCGGAGGAAGGCGGGGACGACGUCAAGUCAUCAUGGCCCUUAUGGGUAGGGCUACACACGUGCUACAAUGGGACGUACAGAGGGUUGCCAACCCGCGAGGGGGAGCUAAUCUCAGAAAGCGUCUCGUAGUCCGGAUUGGAGUCUGCAACUCGACUCCAUGAAGUCGGAAUCGCUAGUAAUCGCGAAUCAGCAAUGUCGCGGUGAAUACGUUCCCGGGCCUUGUACACACCGCCCGUCACGUCAUGGAAGUGGAUGGUACCAGAAGCGGAUAGUCUAACCGCAAGGGAGACGUUUGCCACGGUAUGAUUCAUGACUGGGACGAAGUCGUAACAAGGUAACCGUA
rnacentral:rRNA from 1 species